rnacentral:rRNA from 1 species
AGAGAGAGACAUGCGCGCAUAUCAAUAAGCGGAGGAAAAGACACUAACAAGGAUUCCCUUAGUAACGGCGAGUGAAGCGGGAAGAGCUCAAAUUUGAAAUCUUCAAGGUUUUACCUUGACGAAUUGUAGUUUAAAGAAGUGUUUUCUGCUGAAGUUUUGGUAAAAGUUCUUUGGAAUAGGACAUCAUAGAGGGUGAGAAUCCCGUAUUUGACCAUUAUUUUCAGCUUUGUGAUACACUUUCAAAGAGUCGGAUUGUUUGGGAAUGCAGUCCAGAAUGGGUGGUAAAUUUCAUCUAAAGCUAAAUAUUGGCGAGAGACCGAUAGCGAACAAGUACCGUGAGGGAAAGAUGAAAAGAACUUUGAAAAGAGAGUUAAACAGUACGUGAAAUUGUCAAAAGGGAAGCGUUUGACACCAGUGUUGUUUUCUCGAAAAUCAAUUAAAAAGUGGCUCGAUUUUGUAUUGCUUGAGACCUUAAAAGCUCACUGUACAUUUUUCGUGUCUUUUUUAAUGCACUUUUCGUUUAACAAGUCAACAUCAGUUUCUUUUGUUGUAAAAGGGUCAUUGGAAGGUGGCUUUCUUUUCGGAGAAAGUGUUUAUAGCCUUUGGCCUCUGCAAUCGGAGAGACUGAGGUCUGCAGCGUAGACUCUUCGGGGUUAGAUACAUUUGUGCUAAGUUAUAGCUUUUUAUAGACAACUUGUUGACUAUAAUUAGUCUUGUAGCUUACUCGCUUAUGCUAUUUUACCUACGCUUAGGAUGUUGAGUCGUAGAGCACGCAG